AUUGAACGCUGGCGGCAUGCCUUACACAUGCAAGUCGAACGGUAACGCGGGGCAACCUGGCGACGAGUGGCGAACGGGUGAGCAAUACAUCGGAACGUGCCCGGUAGUGGGGGAUAACUGCUCGAAAGAGCAGCUAAUACCGCAUACGACCUGAGGGUGAAAGGGGGGGAUCGCAAGACCUCUCGCUAUCGGAGCGGCCGAUGUCGGAUUAGCUAGUUGGUGGGGUAAAGGCCUACCAAGGCGACGAUCCGUAGCUGGUCUGAGAGGACGACCAGCCACACUGGGACUGAGACCCGGCCCAGACUCCUACGGGAGGCAGCAGUGGGGAAUUUUGGACAAUGGACGCAAGUCUGAUCCAGCCAUGCCGCGUGCGGGAAGAAGGCCUUCGGGUUGUAAACCGCUUUUGUCAGGGAAGAAAUCUUCUGAGUUAAUACCUCGGGAGGAUGACGGUACUUGAAGAAUAAGCACCGGCUAACUACGUGCCAGCCGCCGCCGUAACAC
rnacentral:rRNA from 1 species